GAAUGCCCAGUUAGUUUGAAUUUCAAGAUAAACAACAAACAAAUUUUUAGUAUAAAAGUGUUUAUAAAAUGUUUGGGACAUAUUUAUACUAAAAUUGUUUGUUAAUAACAUUUAACUGGGAAGUCUGUAUUUUCAUUUU
rnacentral:miRNA from 1 species